UNGGAAUUACUGGGCGUAAAGCGAGCGCAGACGGUUACUUAAGCAGGAUGUGAANUCCCCGGGCUCAACCUGGGAACUGCGUUCCGAACUGGGUGACUAGAGUGUGUCAGAGGGAGGUAGAAUUCCACGUGUAGCAGUGAAAUGCGUAGAGAUGUGGAGGAAUACCGAUGGCGAAGGCAGCCUCCUGGGAUAACACUGACGUUCAUGCUCGAAAGCGUGGGUAGCAAACAGGAUUAGAUACCCUGGUAGUCCACGCCCUAAACGAUGUCAAUUAGCUGUUGGGCAACUUGAUUGCUUAGUAGCGUAGCUAACGCGUGAAAUUGACCGCCUGGGGAGUACGGUCGCAAGAUUAAAACUCAAAGGAAUUGACGGGGACCCGCACAAGCGGUGGAUGAUGUGGAUUAAUUCGAUGCAACGCAAAGAACCUUACCUGGUCUUGACAUGUACGGAAUCCUCCAGAGACGGAGGAGUGCCUUCGGGAGCCGUAACACAGGUGCUGCAUGGCUGUCGUCAGCUCGUGUCGUGAGAUGUUGGGUUAAGUCCCGCAACGAGCGCAACCCUUGUCAUUAGUUGCCAUCAUUUAGUUGGGCACUCUAAUGAGACUGCCGGUGACAAGCCGGAGGAAGGUGGGGAUGACGUCAAGUCCUCAUGGCCCUUAUGACCAGGGCUUCACACGUCAUACAAUGGUCGGUACAGAGGGUAGUCAAGCCGCGAGGUGGAGCCAAUCUCACAAAACCGAUCGUAGUCCGGAUUGCACUCUGCAACUCGAGUGCAUGAAGUCGGAGUCGCUAGUAAUCGCAGGUCAGCA
rnacentral:rRNA from 1 species